rnacentral:rRNA from 1 species
GAUGAACGCUGGCGGCGUGCCUAAUACAUGCAAGUCGAGCGAACCACUUCGGUGGAGAGCGGCGAACGGGUGAGUAACACGUAGGUGAUCCGCCCAUCAGACGGGGACAACGAUUGGAAACGAUCGCUAAUACCGGAUAGGACGAAAGUUUAAAGGUGCUUCUGGCACCGCUGAUGGAUGAGCCUGCGGCGCAUUAGCUAGUUGGUAGGGUAAAGGCCUACCAAGGCGACGAUGCGUAGCCGACCUGAGAGGGUGAACGGCCACACUGGUACUGAGACACGGCCCAGACUCCUACGGGAGGCAGCAGUAGGGAAUCUUCGGCGAUGGGCGAAAGCCUGACCGAGCAACGCCGCGUGAAUGAUGAAGGCCUUCGGGUUGUAAAAUUCUGUUAUAAGGGAAGAACGACUUUAGUAGGAAAUGGCUAGAGUGUGACGGUACCUUAUGAGAAAGCCACGGCUAACUACGUGCCAGCCGCCGCGGUAA